UAGCUGUGAUGAAUCUUUUUUUACUGCUGAUUUUUUGUGAGGCUUGUAAUGAGCUUUUUAACCCUGAGCAAA